rnacentral:rRNA from 1 species
AUGGCAGCAGCGCCGCCGGCGGCGGCGCUCCCAGACGAGCUCGUCCAAGAGAUCCUCGCCCGCCUCCCGCCCGAUGACCCAGCCUGCCUCCUCCGCGCCUUCCUCGUCUGCAAGGCUUGGGGUUGCGCCGUCUCCCUCCCCAGCUUCCGACGCCGCCUCCACGACCUCCACCGACCACCCCCCUUGCUUGGGUUCCUUCCCAGCCGGGCUAGCGAGGGCACUCCCAGCUUCAUCCCCACCACCGCCUCAUCCUUCUCCCUCGAUGCUGCGGACUGCCUCAGGUGGCGGGCCCUCGACUACCGCCACGGCCGCACCCUCUUCCUCUCGAGAAACCAGCACCCCGAGGAAUUCCUCGUGUGGGAGCCAAUCACGGGCGCCCAGAAGCACGUGCCGGUGCCCGCGGCGUUCGACGUCUCAUAUGGUGCUGAGCUCCCGGACAACCGCCCGACUGCGGCCGUGUUGUGCGCGGCGGAUGGGUGCGACCACCGCGACUGCUUCGGGGGUCCUUUCCGGGUGGUCUUCGUCUUCGAGGACGACACCUGGGAGGACCAAGAUGUCAAGUUCGCACGCGUGUACUCGUCCGAGACUGGUGCCUGGGGCGAGCUGACCUCGUUGCCCGGCGAGUCAAUACAACUCACCGAAAAUUCCAGCGUGCUCGUUGGCAGCUCUCUGCUCUACUUCGGGGCCAGUGGGUCGAUCCUAGAGUAUGACCUGACCAGGCACGUCGUGACUCUCCUCAGUCCACCAUACAACUGCAGAUAUCCUAACCUCAUGCUGACGGAGGAUGGCGUACUGGGAGUUAUUGAAGACCUAGAUCCGCAUCUCAGAUUGUGGGCAAGAGAGGCAAGUGAAGGACGAUGGGUGCUGACCCGGACCAUCUACCUGCGCAAUCUGUUCCCACCUUGUGUUGGCUUGAAUGAAGGUUUUAGAGUGGUCGUGAUGGGCUUCAUCGAGGGAGCAAAUGCUCUUUUUGUUGCCUCAACUGCUGGCUUCUUCAUAAUUGAGCUACAAUCAGAGCAGCAGAAUCUGCUGGUGUCGAAGCCUACUGAGGAGACAGGUGGUGAGGAGGGGGCUGAUGGGGAGAAAACAAUGGAUCAUGCACGACAGCCGUUCGACAAGGGGUCCAAUGCUAUCAAUGAGGGGAACUUUGUCAACACCUUCAAAUCCAUCAGCCUUAACCAUGAUAUCGGGGUUCCGUGUUGUGGAGAAGUUGCUCCGGCGUGUGCUAGUACGUUCGACCAAUAUGGAUGUGCAUAUGAAGCUCAAGAGGUGAAUGAUUCUUUUGAUGAUGUUCCCAAGAGUAGACCAAAUGAAGAACUGGUGAAGGGCACAACAAGCGAAGAUGAUGUUGGGGACUCAAAGACCUCGGGUAGCAAUGUUGAGGAUGCUGCUUCAUCUUUCGGAGGAAAAGAGGCAAGUGAAGGACGAUGGGUGCUGACCCGGACCAUCUACCUGCGCAAUCUGUUCCCACCUUGUGUUGGCUUGAAUGAAGGUUUUAGAGUGGUCGUGAUGGGCUUCAUCGAGGGAGCAAAUGCUGUUUUUGUUGCCUCAACUGCUGGCUUCUUCAUACUUGAGCUACAAUCAGAGCAGGUGAGAAAGGCGUGCAAUCAUCGUGGCUUCAGUAAUUUGGUUCCAGUUGUCACCUUCUACACUCCUGUGCCCCGAGGCAGCCAGCAGAAUCUGCUGGUGUCGAAGCCUACUGAGGAGACAGGUGGUGAGGAGGGGGCAGAUGGGGAGAAAACAAUGGAUCAUGCACGACAGCCGUUCGACAAGGGGUCCAAUGCUAUCAAUGAGGGGAACUUUGUCAACACCUUCAAAUCCAUCAGCCUUAACCAUGAUAUCGGGGUUCCAUGUUGUGGAGAAGUUGCUCCGGCGUGUGCUAGUACGUUCGACCAAUAUGGAUGUGCAUAUGAAGCUCAAGAGGUGAAUGAUUCUUUGGAUGAUGUUCCCAAGAGUGGACCAAAUGAAGAACUGGUGAAGGGCACAGCAAGCGAAGAUGAUGUUGGGGACUCAAAGACCUCGGGUAGCAAUGUUGAGGAUGCUGCUUCAUCUUUCGGAGGAAAGUGA